rnacentral:lncRNA from 1 species
CAUAAGCUCAACAUAAGCUACACAUGCAUUUUCUACCCCAUGAACUUGCAUAAAACUUGCUUAAAACAUAAAGUAAGCUAGAGAUCGACUCUUACCUCUUGAAGAUCGAGGGUAGAGGCGAUCUAACUUGGAGUUGGAAGAGAUUUGAGUUCUUGAACCUCAAAGCUCCAAAACUUGCUUAAAACUUGGAAAUCUUCAAAAUAAGAUGAAAACUAGUGAAAAACUCGAAAGAUCUGAAGGAAAAGACUCAAGAUCGGUGAGGGGCGGCGGAGAACUCAC